UACGUAGGGUGCGAGCGUUGUCCGGAAUCAUUGGGCGUAAAGGGUCCGCAGGCGGAUAUGCAAGUCAGAUGUGAAAGCCUAUAGCUCAACUAUAGUAAGCGUUUGAAACUGCACAUCUUGAGGUGUGGAAGGGUAAGGGGAAUUCCUAGUGUAGCGGUGAAAUGCGUAGAUAUUAGGAAGAAUACCGGUGGCGAAGGCGACUUACUGGGC
rnacentral:rRNA from 1 species